GUGCCGUCGGUCAGGCGUGCCCAGACGUGGUCGUUCAGAUCGGCGGCGGGUCUGGCCAGCACCUGCCGGGAGAUCGUGACCUCCGGUGGCGCG
rnacentral:tRNA from 1 species